ensembl:lncRNA
CGUGAUUCCAUCUGCAACGUUAUGAUGCAGCAAGAAGGCCCUCAGCAGUUGCAGUCUGUCAGCUUUGGACUUUCCAGCCUUUAGAACUAAUUCUGUAUUUCCUGUCGUACUUCGUGUCAGACCACUUGUCCUGCCUUUGCUAGCCUCUCCUCCCUGGUGGGAAAAGUGCAGCGGUGAGAGCAAAAGGCAGGGUAAACCAGUGUCUGUGGGCUGACCCUCAGGGUUAAAGACUAGGGUAACUGACCAGGUGGGUGCAAAGGGAAAUGUGGUAUGGUGGGUGAUGCAGUGGUAUUUUGUACACUCCCCCAGUCUGUGUGGCGGGGAGGAGUGCUAUAGGACAUUAAAAUUUUCUAGGGGAUUUUUUCCCUUCCACCUACAGACAGCUGUUAAUG